UGGGGAAUAUUGGACAAUGGGGGGAACCCUGAUCCAGCCAUGCCGCGUGUGUGAAGAAGGCCUUAUGGUUGUAAAGCACUUUAAGCGAGGAGGAGGCUCUUUUGGUUAAUACCCAAGAUGAGUGGACGUUACUCGCAGAAUAAGCACCGGCUAACUCUGUGCCAGCAGCCGCGGUAAUACGGAGGGUGCGAGCGUUAAUCGGAUUUACUGGGCGUAAAGCGUGCGUAGGCGGCUUUUUAAGUCGGAUGUGAAAUCCCCGAGCUUAACUUGGGAAUUGCAUUCGAUACUGGGAAGCUAGAGUAUGGGAGAGGAUGGUAGAAUUCCAGGUGUAGCGGUGAAAUGCGUAGAGAUCUGGAGGAAUACCGAUGGCGAAGGCAGCCAUCUGGCCUAAUACUGACGCUG
rnacentral:rRNA from 1 species